AUUGAACGCUGGCGGCAGGCCUAACACAUGCAAGUCGAACGAGUGGCAGACGGGUGAGUAAUGUCUGGGAAACUGCCUGAUGGAGGGGGAUAACUACUGGAAACGGUAGCUAAUACCGCAUACCAUCAGAUGUGCCCAGAGGGGAUUAGCUUGUUGGGGGGGUAACGGCGCACAAAGGCGACGAUCCCUAGCUGGUCUGAGAGGCGGACCAGCCACGCUGGAACUGAAACACGGUCCAGCCUCGUACGGGAGGCAGCAGUGGGGAAUAUUGCACAAUGGGCGCAAGCCUGAUGCAGCCAUGCCGCGUGUAUGAAGAAGGCCUUCGGGUUGUAAAGUACGUUCAGAGGGGAGGCGUUACCCGCAGAAGAAGCACCGGCUAACUCCGUGCCAGCAGCCGCGGUAAUUC
rnacentral:rRNA from 1 species